rnacentral:rRNA from 1 species
GACGAACGCUGGCGGCGUGCUUAACACAUGCAAGUCGAACGGAAAGGCCCUGCUUGCAGGGUACUCGAGUGGCGAACGGGUGAGUAACACGUGGGUGAUCUGCCCUGCACUUCGGGAUAAGCCUGGGAAACUGGGUCUAAUACCGGAUAGGAGCCAUUUUUAGUGUGAUGGUUGGAAAGUUUUUUCGGUGUAGGAUGAGCUCGCGGCCUAUCAGCUUGUUGGUGGGGUAAUGGCCUACCAAGGCGGCGACGGGUAGCCGGCCUGAGAGGGUGGACGGCCACAUUGGGACUGGGAUACGGCCCAGACUCCUACGGGAGGCAGCAGUGGGGAAUAUUGCACAAGGGGCGCAAGCCUGAUGCAGCGACGCCGCGUGGGGGAUGACGGCCUUCGGGUUGUAAACUCCUUUCGCUAGGGACGAAGCUUUUUGUGACGGUACCUAGAUAAGAAGCACCGGCUAACUACGUG